UACGUAGGGCGCAAGCGUUGUCCGGAAUUAUUGGGCGUAAAGCGCGUGUAGGCGGCCAGAUAGGUCUGCUGUGAAAACUCGAGGCUCAACCUCGAGCUGUCGGCGGAAACCAUCUGGCUAGAGUCCGGAAGAGGAGAGUGGAAUUCCUGGUGUAGCGGUGAAAUGCGCAGAUAUCAGGAAGAACACCUAUGGCGAAGGCAGCUCUCUGGGACGGUACUGACGCUGAGACGCGAAAGCGUGGGAGCGAAGCAGG
rnacentral:rRNA from 1 species